ACGUUAUCCCGGGAAGACACUAGGUGGCGCUGUGGGACUGCUGUCGGGAUCCAGGCCCCGGGCGAUUGGUCUUCCCAGGCGGCACAGCCCUGGAGGAAUCCUUUCCCACCUGGUCCUCUGGGAAGCCAGGGCGGCCCCUCUCCCUGUUUCGCUUCUCUCGGAAUGAUACAGCUCACGUCUUCCUUUUUCAUGCAGCUUCUUUGUUCCUUUUCCACCGGUCCUGCGGGCAGAGACUCUGCCACCCUCCCUCCUUCCCGGAGAGACAUGAGGUCUCUGAGGAUGGAGGAGACAGUGGGAGCAGACAGGAGCAGCGGUUCUGGAAAAGCCAGAGGCACGUCUACUUCCUAAAUGCCCAAAGGCCACAUCCAGGCAUAAGAACCCUCUUUCUAAUUCUGGAGGCUUGGUGAUUAAUUUCUGCAACCCUGUCUUUGGGGAGACUUGCGUUUCUAAAAGGGUCUGUUCUGAGGAGCCAGAGGGCCACCUCCUCCCACCUGGCAUCAAGGAACCCUGCUUCCACCCACAAGGCUUGGCUGUGGAGCUUUCAGUGUGGGUUAACAGAGAGAGUGGGGGUUGGGGAACGUCAGCCCUGGCAGCAAGUGCAACCUCUGCAAAGCGGGUCAUUUACAAUCAGUCAGCAUGACGACUCCUCUGAGGCUCCUGUGCAGAAUGGGGAGAGGAAACCCUGUGCUGGAGGGCUGCAGUGAGGAAUGAGUGUGUCUCCUGGACUGCUCCGUCUGCUGGGAAACUCCGGACACCUAUGUGAUGUGGUUAUCACAAAACAGUAAUGAAUUUGGACAGCACUGAGACGUGAACAAAAUGGCUGUGGAAAAAAGCAGCAGUAUCUUCUCACUGCAGAGAAGUAAAACCUCAGUCCCUGGAGCCAAGUGAGUCCAAGAAAUGAAGCCAAAAGCAAACCUGGAAGGUGGUGGCUGGAGUUCUCCAUGAGGAGGCCUUUGAAGUGAGAGCUGUCCCUCCCUCCAAGGGCUCCAGCAGCACCCCCCUCCGCACUUGAUGAAAGGGGAGACGGGCUCUGUUGUGGUUUGACACAUGCCCCAGAUGUCAGGUUGCGACUCCACUUGGCAGUUAGCUCCCUGAGGUGGCAGC
ensembl:lncRNA